AAAAUGGUUUGGCAGUGAGCGAUUCUUAUUAGGGGAAUAUGCAUAGUGAAGGAUGGUCCACCUAUUAGUUUACUCUUUUUAUGUUGGUGUAUGUCUGGUUUGAUAUUAUUGUUGAAUAAUUUAAGUUUGUGUAGUUUUAGUUAAGCUAAGUCUAUGUGCUGCUUAUUGGAGUUUUUGUGUGUUACAUUAAUAAGGGUGUUAUUGUAAGAUGAUGUGAUUUAGGACUUAAUAGUAAUGUUAAAUGAGUUUGUUGAUGUGAAGAGAGUUUAGCUCAGGUACACACCGCC
rnacentral:rRNA from 1 species